rnacentral:lncRNA from 1 species
UUUUUCUUCAUCCCGCUCCACUAGUAUCUAAUCUUCAAAUUUAAGUACGUCUUCGUGCUUCCUAGAUGCAUCACAAACUUGGAGUAAUGUGCUUCUUCUAAUAAGUCUUCUUUUAGUUUGUUGUCAUGGGGCACACAUAAACGAUUUCCAAAUCUUAAUGUACCAUCCUUUGUAAGGUUAAAUUUUGGCUUGAGUCCCUUGAUAACAUCAUCUCUAAUCAUCUGUAAUGUAGAGUAUGACUCUAGAUAU